AAGACUGUACUUUCAGAGAUCAUUUCUAAUGUGACUGAUUAGAAAACAUUAUUUGAAAGUGAUACAUCUCCCUAAUCACGAUGAAGAGCUGUGAUGUAUUCUUCUGAGUGUGAAUCAGAUUCCAGCUGAUGAGUUCUGUCCCAGGCUUGAGUUGUUGAUGAAUGUUAUCUGUUUCUUAUGAAGCAUGAGAGGAAGAGUACAUGAUCAGAGUGAU